ACCGGAUACGAGCUGCGGCCGCAUGGUCGGCAGCUGGAAAGAAUUUCGGUCAGGGAUGAGCUCGCGGCCUAUCAGCUUGUUGGUGAGGUAAUGGCUCACCAAGGCGUCGACGGGUAGCCGGCCUGAGAGGGUGACCGGCCACACUGGGACUGAGACACGGCCCAGACUCCUACGGGAGGCAGCAGUGGGGAAUAUUGCACAAUGGGCGGAAGCCUGAUGCAGCAACGCCGCGUGAGGGAUGACGGCCUUCGGGUUGUAAACCUCUUUUAGCAGGGAAGAAGCGAAAGUGACGGUACCUGCAGAAAAAGCGCCGGCUAACUACGUGCCAGCAGCCGCGGUAAUACGUAGGGCGCAAGCGUUAUCCGGAAUUAUUGGGCGUAAAGAGCUCGUAGGCGGUUUGUCGCGUCUGCUGUGAAAUCCCGAGGCUCAACCUCGGGCCUGCAGUGGGUACGGGCAGACUAGAGUGCGGUAGGGGAGAUUGGAAUUCCUGGUGUAGCGGUGGAAUGCGCAGAUAUCAGGAGGAACACCGAUGGCGAAGGCAGAUCUCUGGGCCGUAACUGACGCUGAGGAGCGAAAGGGUGGGGAGCAAACAGGCUUAGAUACCCUGGUAGUCCACCCCGUAAACGUUGGGAACUAGUUGUGGGGUCCAUUCCACGGAUUCCGUGACGCAGCUAACGCAUUAAGUUCCCCGCCUGGGGAGUACGGCCGCAAGGCUAAAACUCAAAGGAAUUGACGGGGACCCGCACAAGCGGCGGAGCAUGCGGAUUAAUUCGAUGCAACGCGAAGAACCUUACCAAGGCUUGACAUAUACGAGAACGGGCCAGAAAUGGUCAACUCUUUGGACACUCGUAAACAGGUGGUGCAUGGUUGUCGUCAGCUCGUGUCGUGAGAUGUUGGGUUAAGUCCCGCAACGAGCGCAACCCUCGUUCUAUGUUGCCAGCACGUAAUGGUGGGAACUCAUGGGAUACUGCCGGGGUCAACUCGGAGGAAGGUGGGGAUGACGUCAAAUCAUCAUGCCCCUUAUGUCUUGGGCUUCACGCAUGCUACAAUGGCCGG
rnacentral:rRNA from 1 species